ACAGAAGAGAGGAGACAGAGACCAACAGGUAGACAGAAGAGAGGAGAGACAGAGACCAACAGGUAGACAGAAGAGAGGAGAGACAGAGACCAACAUGUAGACAGAAGAGAGGAGAGACAGAGACCAACAGGAAGACAGAAGAGAGGAGAGACAGAGACCAACAGGUAGACAGAAGAGAGGAGACAGAGACCAACAUGUAGACAGAAGAGAGGAGAGACAGAGACCAACAGGUAGAGAGGAGAGACAGAGACCAACAGGUAGAGAGGAGAGAGGAGAGACAGAGACCAACAUGUAGACAGGAGAGAGGAGAGACAGAGACCAACAGGUAGACAGAAGAGAGGAGAGACAGAGACCAACAUGUAGACAGGAGAGAGGAGAGACAGAGACCAACAGGUAGACAGAAGAGAGG
rnacentral:lncRNA from 1 species